rnacentral:lncRNA from 1 species
CACAAGAGCCUGAGUGUCCGGCAUGAUAUAUUAUUUACGAGUAUAAACCUGAAUCAACAAGAAGACUUUAUUUAAUCAUUUUCUCAGUUAAGAAACAGAGAACAAAUUCAAUGAACUUAUUGAAAAGAAAUAAUAAUAAUAAUAAGAAAUGAAAUGAAAAUUUUGGAGAAAAAGAAAUUAAAAUCAACGGAUUUUCACCUGCAAAAUCAACUCGAUACCGCUUCCGGGAGAGGUCGAGUGUAAGCUGAUUCUGGGGUUCUGUUUGGGUUUUGUUUUGGUGAAUGUUUUCUAAUGUUUGGGUCACAGUCCAAUUUGAAGUUUUCUGGACUUUUGGAUCCGGAUCUCAACGGCCCUUUAAAUUGAUUUCUUCUUCCACUUUUUAAAUAUAUAUACAUGAAUCUUAACUAUAUGAAAAUCAACAAUAAGUUAAAAAAUAAAAAUACAGACUCCGAUGCAUAUAUAUUAUUAACCAGUGUUUUUUAUUUUUAAUUUAUCAUUGACUUUAAUAUAAUAAUGGAUCUUUAAUUGAAAACUCACUCCGAUAUAUAUAAUCAUUUUUUAGUGAGGGCAUCCUAACUUUGUUAAAAUGAGGAAGCUACUAACAAACAAAAAACACAAUUUUCAUUAUACUAACAAAUAAAAAAUAUAUAUAUUGAAAUUUUUAUUCUUUUGUAUUUUAGUGACAUUUUUACUUUAACAAUGUGGGGAUGCUCUUACUUAAAAAAAGAGAGUGCGUGUGUGAAUGUAUUACACGAAGGGUAUGUUUGACUUGCAGCAUUGCACAACACUACAUUUGGGCCCAGCAUUAAUUGAGAUAAACUCAUGAUUGGGAAUUGAAAUAAAAGGCAUUGAGCAACAUUAAGUAAAGUCGUAGAGAGUGUUUGGCACACUAUAUUGUAUUAUAGUGUAGACAUAUUGCAUUAUCAUUUUAUUAUAUUAAUAUUGUACAAUAUUUGGUGUUAUAUUGUAUAGCAUUAUAUGUAAUAAUAUAAAUAUUAUUACUUAUAUUAAAUUAUUUUUUAUAAUUAUAAAUGUCUUAAAAAUUUUAUUAUUUAUAAUUAUUAAAUUUAUUAUUUAAAAUUUAUAAACGACAGAAGAUUACUCACCACCGUCACCCAUGGGCCACCAUGAGCUAUCGUCGGUGUUCAUAUUCCAGUAUCUUUUGAUGUCAAUUUCGGUACCAUUAUAAUUUUCAUCAUUCGAUAUACACAAUGGUGCAUAUCUCAUCAGCAACAGAGUUUCCUAUCAUUAUAAUAAAUAUACGGUCAAAGUUUAGAGAUACAAAACUUUGACCAUAGAUCUACAAUGAAUGAAGCUCUAUUUUUGGUUUUACAUAUAUCGUUGUAUAGCUCCAAUAAUAAGGAUUAUAUUAAUUCCUAAAUUGAUGUCAAAAGAUAUCGAAAUGAUAUCGCAAGCGGUGGAUUGUGAUGGUUGGCAGUAAUCAAUAUUUUUACCAUUUAAAUUUAUUAUUUUAUAAAAUAGUAAUAAUUAAAUAUAUUCUAAUUGACUAAAUAAUUUUAUGUUGUAAAAGUUACCAAUACAAUUUACAGAGGAGGGCACGAGGUUUGAUAAUGCGGCAAAAACUAAAUUAAGGGUGUGUUUGGAACAUAACAUUGCAUAAUAUUAUAAAUACGGAUUACAUUAAUUUAUUGGUUACCUAUAUUUGAAAGUUUUGGAAACUGCAUUGUGGAACAUUACCAGCUUUUGCCUUAAUUGAGGCAUUAAAUAUAUUUUAAUUAAUUUUAUUAUUAUAAUAAAUAAAAUUUAAAAAUAAAAUUAUGGUAUCAUGCAGUUUUAUUUAAAAAUGCUAUUUUAUAUUAUAUUUAUAUAUUAAUGAUUAACAUUAAAAUAAUUAACAUAAAAUAAUUAUUCAGUUAAUAAUUUAAUAUAAUUAAUAAUAAAUUUAAAUAAUAUCAAUAAAAAAUAAAUAUAAUAUAGUAUAACAUUAAAUUCUGUAUAAUAUUAUUACAAUGGUGAGGCUAUUUGAACUCAUUAAAUUCCUCUCCUAUUUGAAUUAAAUUUAUCUCUGUACCUAUUUUAAAAAAUAAAUUUAUUAUUAAAAAUUUAAAAUUCUCAAAAUUACUCUUCACUAGUCACUUUCUCUCUUUAUCUUACAAUUGCAUAUUUUCUCUAUUCUUUACAAAUUUUCUUCACUAAUCACUCUCUCUUUAUCUUACAAUUGCAUAUUUUCUCUAUUCUUUACAAAUUAAACACUCAAUUUCACUUUAUUUUUAGUUUAAUUUUGUCCUUUUUUAAUAUAUCAUGAAUAAUAAUAAUAAUAAUAAUAAUAUAUCUAAA